AUGCUUAGGAUUGAUCUUGCCAAAGCCUUGGAUAGUAUUGAAUGGAAUUUUAGUAUUUCCACACUUGCUCGUAAAGGGUUGCAUGGUCAUUUUAUAAAUUUGAUCUACGCUUGCAUGUCCUCUCAUAUCUUCUCUAUAAUUAUUAAUGGUCAAACUUUUCAAAGAUUCAAAAGCAGUAGGGGUAUUAAGCAGGGAUGUCCUUUAUCCCCCCAUAUUGUUUUGUUGGCUAUUUAUGACCUUUCCCUGGCUCUCAAUGAUGCUAUGACGGCUAACAACCUGCAAGGUAUCCUUCUUGGACUGAAUUGUCCCCCUAUUCAUUCAAUACUCCUUGCAGAUGACCUCUUGGUCUAUGGGCAAGCAAGCCAACGGAAAGCAUCUAUUAUGACACACAUUCUUCAACACUUUUGUGCUAUCUCAGGUCAGACCCCAAACAGGAAAAAAAACAGCUAUCCUCUUCAGUGCCAAUGUUCAUCCUGCCAGUAUUCUUAA
rnacentral:rRNA from 1 species